AGAGUUUGAUCCUGGCUCAGAUUGAACGCUGGCGGCGUGCCUAACACAUGCAAGUCGAGCGGUAACAGGUGUAGCAAUACAUGCUGACGAGCGGCGAACGGGUGAGUAAUGCUUCGGAAUCUACCCAGUAGUGGGGGAUAACCAACCGAAAGGUUGGCUAAUACCGCAUACGUCCUACGGGAGAAAGCGGGGGAUCGCAAGACCUCGCGCUAUCGGAUGAGCCGAAGCCGGAUUAGCUAGUUGGUAGGGUAACGGCCUACCAAGGCGACGAUCCGUAGCUGGUCUGAGAGGACGACCAGCCACACUGGGACUGAGACACGGCCCAGACUCCUACGGGAGGCAGCAGUGGGGAAUAUUGGACAAUGGGGGAAACCCUGAUCCAGCGACGCCGCGUGUGUGAAGAAGGCCUGCGGGUUGUAAAGCACUUUUAGUGGGGAUGAAAAGUGCAGAGCUAACACCUCUGCAUCUUGACCUAACCCACAGAAAAAGCACCGGCUAACUCUGUGCCAGCAGCCGCGGUAAUACAGAGGGUGCGAGCGUUAAUCGGAAUUACUGGGCGUAAAGCGUGCGUAGACGGUAAUGUAAGUCGGGUGCGAAAGCCCCGGGCUCAACCUGGGAAUUGCAUUCGAGACUGCAUUGCUUGGGUGCGGAAGAGGGAAGCGGAAUUUCCGGUGUAGCGGUGAAAUGCGUAGAUAUCGGAAGGAACACCAGUGGCGAAAGCGGCUUCCUGGUCCGACACCGACGUUCAGGCACGAAAGCGUGGGGAGCAAACAGGAUUAGAUACCCUAGUAGUCC
rnacentral:rRNA from 1 species